CCAGACUCCUACGGGAGGCAGCAGUCGGGAAUAUUGCGCAAUGGAGGAAACUCUGACGCAGUGACGCCGCGUAUAGGAAGAAGGUUUUCGGAUUGUAAACUAUUGUCCACAGGGAAGAAAAAAGACUGUACCUGUGAAGAAAGCUCCGGCUAACUACGUGCCAGCAGCCGCGGUAAUACGUAGGGAGCAAGCGUUAUCCGGAAUUAUUGGGUGUAAAGGGUGCGUAGACGGGAUAACAAGUUGGUUGUGAAACCCCUCGGCUCAACUGAGGAACUGCAACCAAAACUAUUAUUCUUGAGUGCAGGAGAGGAAAGUGGAAUUCCUAGUGUAGCGGUGAAAUGCGUAGAUAUUAGGAAGAACACCGGUGGCGAAGGCGACUUUCUGGACUGUAACUGACGUUGAGGCACGAAAGUGUGGGGAGCAAACAGGAUUAGAUACCCUUGUA
rnacentral:rRNA from 1 species